rnacentral:rRNA from 1 species
GUUAAAAAGCUCGUAGUUGGACUUCUGGUUUGGGGUGGUGGUCCGCCUAACGGUGUGCACUGUUGCCUUGAGCCUUCUUCCUGUAGUCCGUUUGUGCACUUAAUUGUGUGCUCUUGGAAUAUGGGACCUUUACUUUGAAAAAAUUAGAGUGUUCAAAGCAGGCCUUCGCUUGAAUACAUUAGCAUGGAAUAAUAGAAUAGGACUUUGGUUCUAUUUUGUUGGUUUCUAGGACCGAAGUAAUGAUUAAUAGGGACGGUUGGGGGCAUUAGUAUUUAAUUGUCAGAGGUGAGAUUCUUGGAUUUAUGAAAGACUAACUACUGCGAAAGCAUUUGCCAAGGAUGUUUUCAUUAAUCAAGAACGAAAGUUAGGGGAUCGAAGACGAUCAGAUACCGUCGUAGUCUUAACCAUAAGCUAUGCCGACUUGGGAUCAGGGGGGGUUGAUUUUAGCCCUCUUGGCACCAUAUGAAGAAUCAAAGUUUUUGGGUUCUGGGGGGAAUAU